GACGAACGCUGGCGGCGUGCCUAAUACAUGCAAGUUGAGCGAUGAAGAUUGGUGCUUGCACCAAUUUGAAGAGCAGCGAACGGGUGAGUAACGCGUGGGGAAUCUGCCUUUGAGCGGGGGACAACAUUUGGAAACGAAUGCUAAUACCGCAUAACAACUUUAAACAUAAGUUUUAAGUUUGAAAGAUGCAAUUGCAUCACUCAAAGAUGACCCCGCGUUGUAUUAGCUAGUUGGUGAGGUAAAGGCUCACCAAGGCGAUGAUACAUAGCCGACCUGAGAGGGUGAUCGGCCACAUUGGGACUGAGACACGGCCCAAACUCCUACGGGAGGCAGCAGUAGGGAAUCUUCGGCAAUGGACGAAAGUCUGACCGAGCAACGCCGCGUGAGUGAAGAAGGUUUUCGGAUCGUAAAACUCUGUUGGUAGAGAAGAACGUUGGUGAGAGUGGAAAGCUCAUCAAGUGACGGUAACUACCCAGAAAGGGACGGCUAACUACGUG
rnacentral:rRNA from 1 species